rnacentral:rRNA from 1 species
UCUAUGGUCAUACCAACCUGAAUGUGCCUGAUCUCGUCAAAUCUUGGAAGCUAAGCAGGGUCGGGUCUGGGUAGUACUUGGAUGGGAGAAGCGAAUGUUUAGACCACUUCUAGAG